CGUGACUUACAAGGUUGGUCCUCAGCUUGGCUCUGUUGGAAGGUGGCACAAAUCUUUAACAGGUGGGGCCUAAUGGAAGGUUUUAAGUCAUUAGUGGUGUGCCUCUGAGGGGGUGGGGACUCCAGCCCCUUGCUCUUUCUCUCUUUCUUCCCAGCUACAGGAGGAGGCAAGUGGGUUUGCUUUACCACACAGUCCCAGCAUGCAGUGCUGCCUCAUUACAGGCCAAAUGCAACAGGGCCACCUGAUCACAAACGGGAACCUCAAAAAUGGGAACAAAAUAAGCCUUUCACCUUUAAAGUUGAUUAUCUCAGAUGUUUUGUGAUAGUAAUGGAAAGCUGACUAAUGCAUUCUUUCCUUCCUUCCUCCUUUCUUCUCUUCUUCCUUCUUUUCUUCUCUCUGUUUAUUUUCUGUUAUCUCAGUUCAUGGCACUGUGAUGUUUUGCUGCCAAGAGUUCACAGUAAAAGGAACUGGAGGUUGGCAUUCUGGGAGGAUGUAAAUGGGCACAGUUUCUGGUCCGGAAGCUCCAGUGAUCCUCACUUGAUGCUUUGAAAAUCUGCUAUUGACCACAGGAUUGAUGCUCUCCUCAUGAUAGCAACCAAGUCACUGAAAUCAACCCCACUGGAGAAAAUGUUUUCAACUACUUGGAAAUAAACACAAUCUCAUCAGGAUCAGCUACAUGUAUGGUUAUGAUAAUGAGAUUGAAAAGAGAAAAGUCUUGGUGACUCGCUGAAGAUCCAGUGGGCAGUUACUGAAGGAUUCAAAUCUGUAAAGGAGUCUUCUAACGUCAAGAUGAAAGAAAUGAGCCUCAAAAGUGAAAUAAAUGACCGACUGACAACCCGGAGCUGCUGGAUGGGGAGUCUGAGCCCAGGACCCAGGGCUGAUUGGCUCCAACACCCUGUCUGCCCUCACAGCAUUCUCUCAGCCCCAGAAGAGAAAGUCUGUAGUCGUGUGCAAUUCUCUUGUCACUUUGCUAUCAUAUAUGAGACUAAAUAGCAGAAGGCUGGCUUUCCCGAAGGAGUGUGGGAUUUGACUUCACACAGGCCUGUAGUUCCCAUGGAUCAAAGACACAUGCAUGUGGAGCCAUGCUUUCAAUUCUAGGUGCUUCCACAAUGAAAGGAUGAAUUGGGGUCAGUGGUCCCCACAACAUCUUCUGGCCUAACAGGAAAGAGAAACGUAAAAAGUGCUUUUGAAAAGACAGAGUAAGUGAGCUAGAUUGUUGUACGUGUGGAAGAACCAUUGUUUUUUACUGUAAGUAGUACAAAAGAUAUUAAUGACUCCGUGUACCUGGUAGUGGGGAUGAAGCCCAGUAGAUCCAUUAUGCAGCUUAAUUUAAGGGUCAUUCGCUGUCAUGUCGAUUCCGGCUGUAUGAAACAUCUGUUGGUCUCCCCCGUGGAGAAUGUAGUCUGAUGUCUCUUUGCAUUUGGUGUCAAACUGGCUCUGAAGCAUGAGACACAUGGACCCAGUUGCUCCAAGGCAUGAGUUAAGGCCAGCGGACACUGAAGGGUUAAGUGCCAUUUUGACAGUGCAAACAUACAUAGGAUUGAACAGUGACUUCAUUUGUGUCACUGGAGUGGUUUCUUCUGAUGUGGUGGCUCCUCCAAGACCUAAAACAAAACCAGAUACACACAAACAGAAACUAAAUGAUCCUUCCCCCAAAGGAUGGAAGGACAAUCGUCCACAAAACCAUUAAGAAAACAUAACCACUGACAGGAGUAUGUGUGGUGCUUUGAUUUGUAAUAGUGGAUCCUUAUAUACCUGAUAAUUUAGUUCAAAUGGGGCACAAAAAAACAAUUCUUUUAUCAGAGCCUUACCAGUGGCAUUGUUAUAAAGGACAUGCUGCCCUGGGAAGGGAAAUUUUGUCCCAUUCAAACACAUUCUGAAUAUCUCAAAAAAUACUCCCUUAUUUAUGAGAAUGUGUUUCUCAAACAGAAGAUUGAAUUUUAUCUUUGCAGAAACUCAUUUUCUCUCCCUCUAAUGACAUGUAAAUCAUUUUCCCUUUAUUUUUUCAACUUUUUAUUUCAUUGGUUUCUAAGAUGCCAGUCUUAAAAUGUCUAUUGUUUCUAUUGUAUUGAAAUAAUUUUCUCUUUGUGGAGAGUCCACAUGUCGACAUUCUAUAGGCAAUAAUUUAUAUUUCUAUUGAUAGACCAGAAGUACUUAUUAGGAUAUGCAUCAUAAAAAAUUCCUUCAUAUCUUCCAACUGCUUUCAACUGGCAAGUUCACUAAGCCCUAAUUUCUAUGUAGAUAUAAUUAGCUGUUCUUUUCUCCUUUUUUUCCAGUGCUAGGGAUCAAAUCCCAGGAACACCUCUUCUUAAAGCAGGAGUUUUGCACAGCAUCUGUAAGGAUGUGUCAGAUGACAAAUGGGUGUGAGAUGGAGUCCACUGUUUUCCUAGGACCUGGAAACAUUUGUGUCCUAGUCACUCCUCAGACGGACAGGCACUUUUUCCAAAUAAGGACGAAAUCAGCUUUCCUCUGUCAGUGGCUGCUGCCCAUCCCCAGUUCCCCAAUGCAAUGCCAGCCUGGAAAUAAGUUUCAGCAAAGACAUACUUAAUUUUCUGUUUGAAAGAACAUCGAAAGGAGGUGGACACUUCAGGACACUGGGCAUACACCAAAAGGUAUGACAGUCAAUGCUCUCUUUCUGUCACCAUGGUGAAAUACCUCUGAUAAUUCAGAAAGGUGUGUCAGCUCACAGUGCCUGAGGUUCCAUUCGCGAUCAAGUGGACCACAGACCAGACCUCUGGUCAGGGUGCCUGGUGAAAAUUCAGGGCACACAUGCUCACUUUCCACCCAGGAAGAGAGCAGGACCAUGCAGUUUCCUAUGGAGAAUAUUCCAGAGACAAAGAUUUCUCACAGGGCCCCACCUCCUAAAGGUCCAAGCACCUUCCUCCUUGCCACCAUGGUGACCACCGUGCCUCAGGAGACGCCCAUCUAAACUACAGAAGGCAGCCAGGUUCCCUACAGUCAGACACCCAUCGAUCCCACCUGGGUGGAAGAAGGUGGCUGAAUCACUUCAAAAUCCUCAGCCUGUCUGAGUCCCCACUAAAAUGUAAGCACAGGGAGAAUAAGGACUUGAUCGUAUCCACCACUGAAUCCUAGAGUCUAGAAAAGAUCCUGCCAGAGUCAGCAGCACAAUAUUUAGUGGUGGGAGGAAAAAUGAAGGAAGGGGAAGAAGGGCAAAAUGGAAGAAGGAAAGCAAGUGGGCAGAAAUACGCCAGUUGAUUCAGAUUUUCUGGAUUGACAAGUAUAAUUGUUAUAACUGCAGCUGAAAUAACACUUGCUGAUGCCACCACUGUGUAUAAAGGGAUGUGGAGAAGUUGAGAGUAUUUAUCAUAACUGGGGUGGGAGGACUAACACCUUAGGGGUGGCCUGAACUGAGAGCCUGAGUUAAAGCUGAGUGACUUCAAGCAAAGGUCUCCUUUGUCCUUCUAGGUCCCGGAGGACAAGGGCUCUAGCUCAGGUUUGGUGCCUGAAGGCAGAAAAACACGUGGACCUGCUCAUGGGGUUCUCACAGUCUAAUGAGGGACCUAAGGGCUGGGUGUGCAAGUUCAAUGCAGGUCUGUAGGGCCAAGAUCCAAAAAGAGCUCCCCAGCAGGAGCUGUGUUCUGUGGCUGGGGGCUUGCAAGCAUGGAAGAUGGAGUUGCCUGAGAGGAGGCAUCUGUGUGUGACCUGGAAAGGUGAUGAGCUCGGAGCUUAGACGCUGCGUGGUUGUCCUUUCUGAGCAAUGAUGCUGUCAGGCAGACUGACCCCUCCCUUUUCUAUCUAGAAGAACUGGACUGAAGAUAGAAUAACGAAACUGAUUUUAAAAAACUGAUGCAAAACUCCCUCCUCCUCCUGUGUUCCCUACAUUCCUCAGGAGAGCCAUGAAAUUAUUAAGUCUGAGGACAGCCUUCAUCCAUAUUCUGUGGUUUCAGAAGAAACACACCCCAAACCCCACUGUCCCUCUUGGUCUUGGCUUAAGAGCAGACACCAAGGGCUGAAAUGGAAUGAAGCACGCCAGCCAGUACGCCAGCUAGUAUGCCAGCCCCUGCUCUAUGAGCUCACGUCUCUCAUUUCCUUAUGGCCUGAAAGUUCUUUUAGUCACUUGCCAGGGACUCUCCCCAAAUAGACAUGGAAGUUUGGUGCAUGGUUCUAAGGUUGUUUGCAUGUUGCAAAAAGGAAAUGCAAGAAACUGCUUUGUGAAACAUCAAAGUUCUAUUGCAAGGAGUGAUAUCUUCAUGACUUAACAUAUGACUUGAAGGUCACACAAUCAUAGUUUGAAGAUAUGUUGAGUUUGUGUUUCUCCAGAUUCUCAGGUUUGAAACUCCAAGCACACUGUGGAGGAAAGCAAAGCAAUAAGUGGGAGAAUGUCAAGAAGGUUUUGCCUCUGAGAAGGAUCAUAGGAGGAGCCACUAUUGUAAAUGAAUCCGUGGAGCUUUGCAAAGUCUUAAAAAGGACCAUUCAGUUGCAUAAUAUGAGUCCUUAACUUUAUAGCAUAUGGGACACAUAGUUGCUGUGACGUGGUGGGAGAUAAAUGUUGUCAUGUGAUGUUGAAAGAAGAGCAAUAGCUCAGAAUGUGAGGAGGAGGUUGGUGUAUUGGAUUAUUCUGAAAUAAAUUGCUGUCAUCUGGAAGGCUUGCUGUGGCUGGGAAGGAGCUGCCAAGCAGUAAGGCGCUGUGGCUGCCAUUGUGAGGAUGGUGGUGGACUCCUUUCAGUUUCCGGAAAACACCUUGAACAAAACACCUUGAAUGCACAGCCAAGAGAAAUGGGUCAUCCCAGGCCUCUUUCUUCUUUGUAUAUUUUCUCCUACUCAGAACUGUUUUCUCAAUUCUCCAGUGAACUGCUUCAGAUAAAUGAAGUAUGGCAUCAGUCGACAGCUGGGACUUUCCACCAGGGCAAUUUGGCACCACCACUACUCUGAGGGGACAUCUGGCAACAUCUACGGAUAUUUUUGGUAGUCAUAAUUGAAAUAGUGCUAUGGGCACCUAGGCGGUAGAGGUUAAAAUGCUCCUAAGCAGCCUCCAAUGUGUGGGAUGUCCUCUCUUCCAUGCCAGCAUGGAAUUAUCCAGCCUCACAAGGCCAUGGCACUAAGGCUGAGAAAUUCCUGGUUUCAGAUAAAUUUGGACUUUCUGUUUUUCAAAUUAUUUAGAUAAGUUCUAUUCACAAUGACUUUCAAGACCAAAAUAGAAACUUCAAUUGUAGGUAAUUGACACCUGUGAUAUCUAUUUCUUGCAAAUUUAUGAAAAAUACACUCACUUCCCUAAUUCUCAUGUUGAUGGUAUCUCAUGUAAUUUUCUGAGAAACAAUGCAAUCAUCUUGAAAUAAACUCAUGAUAAUUUAUCCUAUACUUAGCUACCACUCUCCGUCUUUGCAAAGUAACAUAGCCAAACAGGGCAAAAUGACAAUUUUCUCGGAUUUUUAUCUGGGAUUCUUUCUGAUAAUCUUUGAUGGAUAUCAAGUCUCAGUGAAAGAGUGCAUUUCAGGAUCCUGGGAAUAUUAAUAACCACACAGAAAUACUGUCAGUCUGAGAAAAUUGCUUCAAUACAUAUAAGAUUCUUUAUCAAGAUAAAUAAGAAUAGCUAACAUCAAAUGCUUGCUUUUUCCUAGUUUCUUUCCUAGUUGUUUUCUGUGAUUCAUUUUAUGUGACUCCUCAAGAUAAACAUUUGUACUCUUAUUUUAGCCAUGUGUUGUCUCAAACCUAGAGCAGUAGAGAAGCUCACCUGCUAGUGACUCCCCGUGAUUAGAUCAGUGAUCUCAGCCUGCAAGAUAAGGGGUCGCCCCUCCUCUAGCCCAGAUAGAAGCUAAACAGCACAGAACUAUAUGACCUGAAUCUGCAGCCAUGGGGACCCCGCCCCUGCAGAGCACAAAUUGAGGGUGCAGGGAGCCAUGGCGUCAUCACAAAAGAGGGCAGACUGUUCUGGGUUCCUACUGGCUCCAAUACAAAUUUUAGGAUUGUUUUUCCUAGCUCUGUGAAGAAUGCUGGUGAUAUUUUGAUUAGAAUUGCAUUAAACCUAUAUAUCAUUUUGGUAAUGUGGCCACUUUGACAAUACUAGUUCUGCCUAUUCAGGAACAGCAGGUGUCUUUCCGUUUUCUAAUGUCUCCUUCGAUGUCUGUUUUUUUGUGUGUGUUUUUUCAGAGUACUAUAGUUUCCAUUAUGCAGGCCUUUCACUUCCUUGGUUAGGUUAAUUCCUAGGUAUUUAAAUAUUUUUUUAAAGCUACCAUGAGUGAAAUUGUUUUCCUGAUUUCUUUCUCAGUGAGUUCACUGUUGGUGUACAGGAAUGCUAUUGAUUUUUGGUGCUGAUUUCCUAUCCUGCCACUUGCUGAAUUUAUUUAUUAGUUCUAGGAGUCUUUUGGUGGUGCUUUUUGGGGUCUUCUAUGCAAAGUGGCAUGUCACCUGCAAAAAGAGAGUUUGAAUUUGUCCUUUCCUAUUUAUAUUCCUCUUAUGUCUUUCUCUUGCCUAACUUUAGUAAGAAUGACUAUCAUCAGGGACUCAAAAGUAAAUCUUAAGGUUAUUCGGGAAAAGGAAUGUUUCUACACUUUUGAUGGGAAUGUAAACUAAUACAACCAAUAUGGAAAUCAAUAUAGCAGUUCCUUAAAAAACUAAAAAGAGAAAUUCCAUUUAACCCAGCUAAAUCUCUUCUGGGUAUCUUUCUAAAGGACCUAAAGGCAUUAUAUCACAGUGAUAAAUGUAUGCCCAUUCUUGUAGCAGAAUGAUUGAAAAUUACUGAAUCAUGAAAACAGUCUAAAUGUCUAUCGACAGAUGAAUAUAUAAAGAAAAUGUGAUAUAUAUAUAUAUAUACACACACACACACACAUAUACAUGAUGGAGUACUACUCAGUCAUGAAGAAGAAUAAAUUUUAGCGUUUGUAGGGAAAUGGAUGAAUCUUGAGACCAUAAAACUAAGUGAAAUAAAUCAGACAUAGAAAGUCAAAUAUUGCAUGGUUUCUCUUACAUAGAAACCCAAAAUAUAGAGAAUUUAGAGAGCAAAAUAAAAGACAGAUGGUAGGAAAUAGAAGGGUAGAAGGAAAGAGUAGAGGGCAGUGGGAAAAGGUGGAAUGAACGUAUCAAUAUGAGAUAUGAAUAUGUACCAGUCCCUAAGAUGAAUGUAAUUAUUAUGCACCACAAAAUAAGAUAUCUAUCUAUCUACCUCUCUGUGAAAGAGGGUAGACAAAGGAGGUGAUAAGAAAAGCUAUUGGAAAGCUCUUUACUAAAGAGAGACAAAGGACCACAGGAACAUCCCAGAGGCAAAAACAGGGGUCACAAACUCAAAUUCUCAUAGGAAUACGACCUUGAGGAGGUAACAAAGCCCAGUGACCAGGUUCGGGAACUCUGGCCCCAAGUGCUUCAGUUUAAUCCCAACUGCACCAUUCAGCCGAUGCAUGAACUCAGGAAAGUCAUUGACUUGUGCACAAGAUCCUUUGCCUCAAAUGGUGCUUGCUCAUCUGGGUGGCUUUUGCCCCAUUUGCUUCCUUGGCAAAUACUGAGGCUCAUUUAGAUUAUCCUUAAAAGUCACCCCACAUUUAACAGAACAAAGAAUUAACUCCAAUUAUUUUAACUAAAUGUUUGCACAUUUAUUGCUUACCACAGAAUAUUCCUAACAAGGAUUGCUUACUCAUUGUUGAUAUAAAUAGUAGGGGGAGGGAGAGAUGAACAGAGAAAGGAAGGGGUGGGAAAGUAAUACACUGCAAAAAUGAAGAAGGAAGAGUUAGUACAACUAGAGGGGAAAUGGUGAGAAGUAAUAACAUGGACAGAUGGGGAAGUGGCUGGUGGUUAAAGACAUUACAUUUACGCAUCUUAGUGAUGGGGAAAUGAGCCUUAUGAGUCACAGUAUUUCUAAUUUGACCAAUUUGCAAGCUAUAAAUGUUUAUAAUGAGUGUAAUUUGUUGAACUUAUGUUAAUA
ensembl:lncRNA